rnacentral:rRNA from 1 species
UACGGAAGGCAGCAGUGGGGAAUAUUGCACAAUGGGCGCAAGCCUGAUGCAGCCAUGCCGCGUGUAUGAAGAAGGCCUUCGGGUUGUAAAGUACUUUCAGUCGUGAGGAAGGUGUUAAGGUUAAUAACCUUAGCAAUUGACGUUAGCGACAGAAGAAGCACCGGCUAACUCCGUGCCAGCAGCCGCGGUAAUACGGAGGGUGCGAGCGUUAAUCGGAAUUACUGGGCGUAAAGGGCACGCAGGCGGUCAAUUAAGUUGGAUGUGAAAUCCCCGGGCUUAACCUGGGAAUGGCAUUCAAGACUGGUUAGCUAGAGUCUUGUAGAGGGGGUAGAAUUCCAUGUGUAGCGGUGAAAUGCGUAGAGAUGUGGAGGAAUACCGGUGGCGAAGGCGGCCCCUGGGACAAAGACUGACGCUCAUGUGCGAAAGCGUGGGGAGCAAACAGGGAUUAGAUACC